GCAAACUUGGUCAUUUAGAGGAAGUAAAAGUCGUAACAAGGUUUCCGUAGGUGAACCUGCGGAAGGAUCAUUAUCGAGUUUUUGAAACGGGUUGUAGCUGGCCUUCCGAGGCAUGUGCACGCCCUGCUCAAUCCACUCUACACCUGUGCACUUACUGUGGGUUUCGAGAAAGGGGGGUCGUUCCCCCUCGAUUGAAGCCCACGUUUAUCCACAAACGCUUCAUAGUAUUCGAAUGUGUAUUGCGAUGUAACGCAUCUAUAUACAACUUUCAGCAACGGAUCUCUUGGCUCUCGCAUCGAUGAAGAACGCAGC
rnacentral:misc_RNA from 1 species